UAGGGAAUCUUCGGCAAUGGACGAAAGUCUGACCGAGCAACGCCGCGUGAGUGAAGAAGGUUUUCGGAUCGUAAAACUCUGUUGGUAGAGAAGAACGUUGGUGAGAGUGGAAAGCUCAUCAAGUGUCGGUAACUACCCAGAAAGGGACGGCUAACUACGUGCCAA
rnacentral:rRNA from 1 species